GCCCUCGUAGCUCAGCUGGAUAGAGCGCACCCCUCCUAAGGGUGAGGUCAGAGGUUCGAAUCCUCUCGGGGGCACCA
rnacentral:tRNA from 2 species